GGGACUAUAGUUAAUAAUAACAUUUGAGUUGCAUUCAAAAAGUACUACCACCAAGUAGUUAGCCUCA
rnacentral:tRNA from 1 species